CCCCUGCACGCGUAGAUCCACUGGCCCAUGCUCACCACGGCAGCGGUGGGAGGAGGAUUGCUGGAGGUGCCUGCAAAGAAUAACACCGCGCCGCGGGCGGAGAGACUUUGGCUGGAUGCUGAUGGACAUCCUCCUGUGAGACACAAUGAUCCUUUCCCUGAAUGCCCGGUACCCAGGAAGUGCCCAUGAUUCCCACGUGAUUCGGCAACCAGGGAUAUGGCAAAAAUUAAGCCUGUUGGAAGGUCAAGAUGUGUGAAUCUUGGGAGAUCGUGGAUAUCCUUGCACCCCCUGGCUCAUGACUUCUUACAGCACACCAGGACCAGGACCACAAUCUGCAUUUAAAUCCACCCUUACAGCCACCAAACAGCUGGUGGAGCGCACAAUCGGAGUCCUAAAAGGGCGUUUUCAUGUGCACGACUGCACUGGUGGUGACCUCAUGUAUUCGCCGGAAAUGAGUUGAUGACUGGAACAGAAGAAGAAAGUGCACCUGUUCACAGUCGGAACAGACUUUUUACGUAGACCAUCCUUUGUACACACACAUAUAAAUUCCCUUUACUUGACAUGCAAUUGUUUUUCACAGAUCCUUCUACAUGUUUCGAAAGCCUUUACAUCCUGGUUUCCAGUAGAAUUAAUUAACUUUUAAUAUAUUUGUUCAACUGUGCAGAUUUGUAUUAAGGCUGAGCUGACCCCAAGUAUUGUGUUAGUAAUGUCUCUGGCCAACACUAAUAGACAAGGUGAUAUAUGAAAAGCCUUCUCCUAUAUAUUCUGUGGUUCGUUCAGCACAAAUGCAUUGUGGUGGUUAUUCAACGUUCCAGAUGUGUCCUCAUACAUCUAGCCUCAAUACACCAUGCAGUACGGUAAAGAUCUGAUUGCGGCUGCAGGCAGCGGGGAAGCGAUGCUCCUGCCACCCAAUAGGAUUUAAGGGGGGCUGUUGGCACAUACUAGGAUCGCGCAGCGGGGAGCUAUGCUGCCGCAACCCGUACUUAGACGCUGUGUCUGUCCGCGGCUUUGCGGGAGUGUGUGUAUGAACGCUCCGAUGAACGAUAGCAUAACAAAAGCCUCCUGCUGGUACAUGUUGCCGAGAUACAUACGCAGCGCAGUAAUGCCACGCCAUGCAGAAAUUAUAGGCAAAGCUGUGUGAAGACCUAUCUGUAUAGACAGCAUCACCCUAUAAGUCUCUCCAGCGAUGACCGGCAAAUGCUAUCAUAUGCCGGGAGGGGGGGGGGGUCUUAAAUAUGAAGUAAUAUGGCGAAAACACGUAAUAAGUUACUGUAAAUGUUUAAAAAGUAAAAAAUAAAAGGCUCCCUUCUUUUCCCACUAAUAGAUAAAAGUCUCUUUCCAUGAUAUAGGAGGUCAUUCCGAGUUGUUCGCUAGCUGCAUUCGUUCGCCGUGCAGCAAUGAGGCAAAAAAAGGCACUUCUGCACAUGUGUAUGCGGCGCAAUGCGCACACGCAACGUACUAUUACAACAAACGAUGUAGUUUCACACAAGGUCUAGAGAUCCUUUUCAGUCGCACUGCUGGCCACAGAGUGAAAGGAAGACGGCGUUUCUGGGUGUCAACUGACCGUUUUCAGGGAGUGUUAGAAAACAUGCAGGCAUGCCAGGAAAAACACAGGCGUGGCUGGGCGAACGCAGGGCAUGUUUGUGACAUCAAAACAGGAACUGAACAGAAGUCAUCGCAAGCGCUGAGUAGGUAUUGAGCUACUCUAAAACUGCACAAAAAACUUUGUAGCCGCUCUGUGAUCCUUUCGUUCGCACUUCUGCUAAGCUAAAAUACACUGCCAGUGGGCGGCGGCAUAGCGUUUGCAUGGCUGCUAAAAACAGCUAGCGAGCGAUCAACUCAGAAUGACCACCUUAGCCUAAUGGAAUCUCAUGCGGAGAGGAAAAUAUGAACAGCCUCAUCUUCUAUGGUACUUUGAUCCAGGUAUAGCAUUAAUUUACCGCAGGUUGAUAAAGGAACGAAAGACUGCAUAGGAUAGAGUG